rnacentral:rRNA from 1 species
GACGAACGCUGGCGGCGUGCUUAACACAUGCAAGUCGAAUGGAAAGGCCCUGCUUUUGUGGGGUGCUCGAGUGGCGAACGGGUGAGUAACACGUGAGUAACCUGCCCUUGACUUUGGGAUAACUUCAGGAAACUGGGGCUAAUACCGGAUAGGAGCUCCUGCUGCAUGGUGGGGGUUGGAAGGUUUCGGCGGUUGGGGAUGGACUCGCGGCUUAUCAGCUUGUUGGUGGGGUAGUGGCUUACCAAGGCUUUGACGGGUAGCCGGCCUGAGAGGGUGACCGGCCACAUUGGGACUGAGAUACGGCCCAGACUCCUACGGGAGGCAGCAGUGGGGAAUAUUGCACAAUGGGCGGAAGCCUGAUGCAGCAACGCCGCGUGCGGGAUGACGGCCUUCGGGUUGUAAACCGCUUUCGCCUGUGACGAAGCGUGAGUGACGGUAAUGGGUAAAGAAGCACCGGCUAACUACGUG